UACGAAGGGGGCUAGCGUUGUUCGGAAUUACUGGGCGUAAAGUGUGCGCAGGCGGCCGAGCAAGUCGAGUGUGAAAGCCCCGGGCUUAACUUGGGAAUUGCGCUCGAAACUACUUGGCUGGAGUGUGGCAGAGGAAGGUGGAAUUCCAGGUGUAGCGGUGAAAUGCGUAGAUAUCGUCAAGAACACCGAUAGUGAAGACAGCUUACUAGGCUUAUACUGACGCUGAGGCACGAAAGUGUGGGGAUCAAACAGG
rnacentral:rRNA from 1 species